GACGAACGCUGGCGGCGUGCCUAAUACAUGCAAGUCGAGCGGACGAAUCGAAAGCUUGCUUUUGAUUCGUUAGCGGCGGACGGGUGAGUAACACGUGGGCAACCUGCCCUGUAGACGGGGAUAACACCGAGAAAUCGGUGCUAUUACCGGAUAACACGAAAUGUCGCAUGACGUUUCGUUGAAAGACGGCGCAAGCUGCCGCUACAGGAUGGGCCCGCGGCGCAUUAGCUAGUUGGUGAGGUAACGGCUCACCAAGGCGACGAUACGUAGCCGACCUGAGAGGGUGAUCGGCCACACUGGGACUGAGACACGGCCCAGACUCCUACGGGAGGCAGCAGUAGGGAAUCUUCCGCAAAGGACGAAAGUCUGACGGAGCAACGCCGCGUGAGCGAAGAAGGCCUUCGGGUCGUAAAGCUCUGUUGUUAGGGAAGAACAAGUAACGCAGUAACUGGCGUUACCGUGACGGUACCUAACGAGAAAGCCACGGCUAACUACGUG
rnacentral:rRNA from 1 species